rnacentral:rRNA from 1 species
GACGAACGCUGGCGGCGUGCUUAACACAUGCAAGUCGAACGGAAAGGCCCUGCUUUUGUGGGGUGCUCGAGUGGCGAACGGGUGAGUAACACGUGAGUAACCUGCCCUUGACUUUGGGAUAACUUCAGGAAACUGGGGCUAAUACCGGAUAGGAGCUCCUGCUGCAUGGUGGGGGUUGGAAAGUUUCGGCGGUUGGGGAUGGACUCGCGGCUUAUCAGCUUGUUGGUGGGGUAGUGGCUUACCAAGGCUUUGACGGGUAGCCGGCCUGAGAGGGUGACCGGCCACAUGGGGACUGAGGUACGGCCCAGACUCCUACGGGAGGCAGCAGGGGGGAAUAUUGCACAAUGGGCGGAAGCCUGAUGCAGCAACGCCGCGUGCGGGAUGACGGCCUUCGGGUUGUAAACCGCUUUCGCCUGUGACGAAGCGUGAGUGACGGUAAUGGGUAAAGAAGCACCGGCUAACUACGUG